rnacentral:rRNA from 1 species
CCUACGGGUGGCAGCAGUAGGGAAUAUUGCUCAAUGGGGGAAACCCUGAAGCAGCAACGCCGCGUGGAGGAUGAAGGUUUUCGGAUUGUAAACUCCUUUUGUUAGAGACGAAAAUGACGGUAUCUAAAGAAUACGCACCGGAUAACUCCGUGCCAGCAGCCGCGGUAAUACGGCGGGUGAGAGCGUUAGUCGGAAUGACUGGGCGUAAAGAGCGCGUAGGCGGGUGAGCAAGUCAGAUGUGAAAUCCUCGGGCUUAACCAUAGAACUGCAUUUGAAACUGUUAGUCUAGAGUAUGGGAGAGGUAGGUGGAAUUCCUGGUGUAGCAGUGAAAUCCGUAGAGAUCAAGAGGAAUACUCAUUGCGAAGGCGACCUGCUAGAACGUAACUGACGCUGAUGCGCGAAAGCGUGGGGAGCAAACAGGAUUAGAUACCCCUGUAGUC